AUGCUGGUGGUGGGUGCAGGGCCACUGGGAGCCGCUGCAUGGUUCCCAGAGGCUGGACUGGGGCAGGUGCCAACUGAAGCUGCUGGGGCAACAUGGGCAGGAUGUUCUGCACACAAACCUUGGAGAAGAAGAUGUGUGCAUAGCGGGUCCACUGCUGCUGCCCCUGCCCUGACUCCCAGCCCUGCCUGACCCCACCUCACCCUGCUCAGGCUCUGGCGCAACCCUGGCUGCCCUGCCACUGCCUCUGCCCCAGAGCUGGGGCCUUGACAGCCUGGUUGGAAGGGGACACCCCAGCCCUGCCUCAACACCUGGGGGUCUCCAUAACUACCACAGGCAGGUGGGCGACCCCAAAGAAGAUCCCAGGACUCACAGUACCCCCUGAGAACAUGGACAGUAUGUGGGGGUAG
rnacentral:lncRNA from 1 species